GAGACUCUGUGCGCGUGCAUAUCAAUAAGCGGAGGAAAAGAAACUAACUAGGAUUCCCUUAGUAACGGCGAGUGAAGCGGGAAGAGCUCAAAUUUGAAAUCUUCAAGGUUUUACCUUGACGAAUUGUAGUUUAAAGAAGUGUUUUCUGUUGGAGUUUUGGUAAAAGUUCUUUGGAAUAGGACAUCAUAGAGGGUGAGAAUCCCGUAUUUGACCAUUUCUUCCAGCUGUGUGAUACACUUUCAAAGAGUCGGAUUGUUUGGGAAUGCAGUCCAAAAUGGGUGGUAAAUUUCAUCUAAAGCUAAAUAUUGGCGAGAGACCGAUAGCGAACAAGUACCGUGAGGGAAAGAUGAAAAGAACUUUGAAAAGAGAGUUAAGCAGUACGUGAAAUUGUCAAAAGGGAAGCGUUUGACACCAGUGUUGUUUAGUUGAAAAUCAAUUCAAUAAUUUUUGAUUUUGAGUAGUAUUGACUUCAUCAGCUUGCUGCUUUCUUUUCGGAAAUUAUUGAAUGCACUUUUCAGUUAACAAGUCAACAUCAAUUUCUUUUGUUGUAAAAGGGUAAGAGGAAGGUGGCUUACGCUUCGGCGUAAGUGUUUAUAGCCUUUUACUUCUGCAAUCGGAGAGAUUGAGGACAGCAGCGUAGACUCCUUCGGGGGUUAGAUACACUUGUGCUAAGCUAUAGCCUUGUAUAGACAACUUGUUGACUAUGCUCAGUCAUGUAGCUUACUCGCUUGUGCUAUUUUACCUACGCUUAGGAUGUUGAACUCUAUCACACACAG
rnacentral:rRNA from 1 species